rnacentral:lncRNA from 1 species
CAAAGUUCUCGUUUUAUGUGGUGCCCAGUGUGGGGCCCUGGUGUGAGGAUGGAGGCUUACAGAAACCAUUAAGGACUGAAAGAAAUAAGUUUCUACAUCAAUUUUUCAGCAGUAAUCUAUAACUUCACCAAUUUGGACUCCCAGAAAUACCAUGAUCAGGCUGCAUAUAGUGAACAAGAAGGUGAGAAGGGAUCUGUGAACAGUAGAUACAAACAGGAGAGAAGAAGGCCUAUGUUGGAGGCCACCAUCUUGCUCUAGGUUCACUGUUGCCAAUGGGUUCACCAUUGCACCCGGCGAGAAGAGGACAUUGCGAAAAAGGCAGUGUGGUCAUCAGGCAGCAAGGAUAUAUUUGGAAC